GUUCCACGAUAGCGCCGUGGCGCGAGCGGGCUGGGCAUGGAAAGAAAAGAAAACGCCCCGCGCAGAAAAGAAAAGAAAGGCACCUUUUCCAUUAGGUCACGCACACACGUCUCCCACCCGUGCUUCCCCAACCCUCGUUCCCAAUUCCCAACAGCUGGGCGCAGGUGGCGGCCGGUGGUGGAGGUCGGAGGAGAAGGAGUUGGGUCCUGCUCGUAGGCGGAUGAGGGGGCAGGCGGCAGCGGUGGAGGUCGGAGCAGAAGGGAUCUGGGAGGCGCUGGUGAACCGAGGUAGGGAAAGUCGGCGGUGGAGAUCAGAAGAGAUGGGGGAAGGCCGUGGUGGAGAUGUGUGGUGAGCGGCGACCGCCGACGGAUAUGGGCGCAAGCAGUGGUGGAGAGAUGCAAGGAGGGCGGCGCUGGAUCGGGGAGGCUGUGGAGUAGGGAGGCAGCAAUGGUGAGGAGUUGGGAUGAGAGCGGCGGGGGUGGAGGCGCGUGGAGAAGACGCGAAAAAAUUGGAAAUUGUUUUACGGCUCCACCCCUUUCUUCGCUUGCCGGCGUUGUCAUAGCGAGCAGAAGGCAUGACAAGAAGAUUUGGUCCGCCCCUUCACCUGCCAUCGAUCUGCAAUGAUUUCUAAGUAAUUCAAGGUAUAUGUUUUAGUGUCUACCAAUCCUUGCUCUAGCACUUUCAGCUGGUGCAGCACCCCAGUGGAGCACCUGGAGUAUCAGAGCAGUAAAUGAUUCUUUUGGUACUAAAUUGGGCGAGAUUGUAAGUACUUUAUAGUUUAUAACAUCCGGGUUGGAGUCCUAAUCACAUUUUCUAGGAGAGAGGUACACCAAUGAAUAGUAGGUGGCAUUACAAAACAUUGUUACCUACAAAACAUUAUAGUUUAUAAUAUCCAACCGUCUAUACAUAUAAAAUGCAGUGAAUUGGAGCUUGAAAUGCUUAGCAGGUAUGAAUUUUUUUUCUCUUCAUUUGCUUAGUGUUUUUUCCUUCCCGAUGUUUGUUUUGGGUUCAGAAAUGAAGGAUGCCAUGCUUUUUUUUAAUCUUAAGCUAACGGCAUGAGCAUAAUGAUCGAGAAUGCAUGAAAUUCAUUUAUUUGAGUGGCCUGGAGAGAGAACGGCAACAUAUAUAAUGCUUUUUCGCCUCCUACCCAGUCUGCUGCGACGACCUAAAGGAUUGAGGUGAGGAGAAAAAUCUUGGUGAGCUGUGAGAGUAGGGUGUUGAGACUGGCAACCUUGCCUUUUCCACACCAUCCCCAGGAUGCACGCCCACAACGCAGCUUGGAUUAUUAAGGAUAGAUAUUGCUGCCUCGUGAUGGUUAAUUACAAGAACAAUGUAUGUUGGAGGCUCACAAGGAAAGAGGCUGGAGCGACGAUGCAGGCGCGGCUGUCCAAGGAACAUAUUUGCUUGCUAGCAUUCGUAAAUUUUGAUGGGUAUAUUAGGUUUACUGGAGUACUAUUUUACAUUUUGUGCUCAUUCUGAUCCAACCAAACUGACCUGAGGGAUUUGAGGUUGUCAUUCGUGUCAGG